rnacentral:rRNA from 1 species
UACGAAGGGGGCUAGCGUUGCUCGGAAUCACUGGGCGUAAAGCGCACGUAGGCGGAUUGCUAAGUCAGGGGUGAAAUCCUGGAGCUCAACUCCAGAACUGCCUUUGAUACUGGCGGUCUCGAGUCCGGGAGAGGUGAGUGGAACUGCGGAGUGUAGAGGUGAAAUUCGUAGAUAUUCGCAAGAACACCAGUGGCGAAGGCGGCUCACUGGCCCGGUACUGACGCUGAGGUGCGAAAGCGUGGG